GGAGUAGUACCCAAGUCGGUGAAGGGGGCAGUUUGCUAAACUGCUAGGUCUAACAAGGCGCGCAGGUUCGAGUCCUGUCUACUCCGCCA
rnacentral:tRNA from 1 species